rnacentral:rRNA from 1 species
UUUACUUGGAUAACUGUGGUAAUUCUAGAGCUAAUACAUGCAAACAGAGUUCCGACCGGAGACGGGAGGAAUGCUUUUAUUAGAUCAAAACCAAUCGGCGGCGGGCGCGCUCGUCGCGCUCGUUCGCCGCUCAAUCUGGUGACUCUGAAUAACUUUCGGCUGAUCGCACGGUCUCGCACCGGCGACGCAUCUUUCAAAUGUCUGCCUUAUCAACUGUCGAUGGUAGGUUCUGCGCCUACCAUGGUCGUAACGGGUAACGGGGAAUCAGGGUUCGAUUCCGGAGAGGGAGCCUGAGAAACGGCUACCACAUCCAAGGAAGGCAGCAGGCGCGCAAAUUACCCACUCCCGGCACGGGGAGGUAGUGACGAAAAAUAACGAUACGGGACUCAUCCGAGGCCCCGUAAUCGGAAUGAGUACACUUUAAAUCCUUUAACAAGGACCAAUUGGAGGGCAAGUCUGGUGCCAGCAGCCGCGGUAAUUCCAGCUCCAAUAGCGUA